rnacentral:misc_RNA from 1 species
CUCAUUCAAUAGAAAUCCUUAAUCGAAUUCAAUACCGUUCCUUUACACAAUUUUGUGUUCUCGAAUCCGAAAUAUUAGAUUUUGUUUCUGAUCCAUCCUUAAUGGCCACUGAAGAUCCAGCCGCUGCUGUUGAGGCCAAUACUGAGCCGGCCACCACUGAGCCUGCAGAGGAAACACCGGCCACCAAGACCGCUAAGGCCAAAAAGGCUAAGGAACCCAAAGCCAAAAAAGCUGCUGCACCUAAGAAACGUAGUCCACCAUCCCAUCCUCCAUACGAAGAGAUGAUUAAGGAUGCCAUUGUGACUUUAAAGGAAAAGACUGGUUCAAGUCAGUAUGCGAUUACUAAGUUCAUUGAAGAGAAGCAGAAGCAGCUACCUCCUAACUUCAAGAAGCUGUUGCUAUUCCAUCUGAAGAAGCUUGUAGCUGCUGGUAAGCUUGUGAAGGUGAAAGGAUCAUUCAAGCUCCCACCAGCAAGGUCAUCGGCACCAAAGCCUGCUUCUCCUGCUGCUGCUCCAGCCAAGGCUAAGAAGAAGCCUGCUGCCUCCAAGCCCAAGCCCAAGCCUAAGCCUAAGCCCAAGCCCAAGCCCAAGGCCAAGGCCAAGGCUACUGCCAAGCCAAAGGAAACCAAGUCGACGAAGGCGGCUACCGCUGCUCCAGCUAAGACGAAGGCAGCUGCUAAGCCUAAGGCGAAGCCAAAGCCGAAGGCGGCUGCCAAGCCUAAGGCUGCGCCUGCUAAGUCUAAGCCUGCUGCAAAGCCUAAGGCUGCUCCAGCUAGACCAAAGCCUAAGGAGAGGCCGGCUAAGGUGGCGAGGACAUCGACUAGGACUAAUCCAGGGAAGAAGCCAGCGGCUCCCAAGGCAGCACCGAAAAAGGCUCCUACUUCAAAGAAGACGCCGGCUAAAUCCGUUAAGCCGAAGAGCGUAAAGUCACCGUCAAGGAGGACUUCAGCUAAGAGGACUUCAGCUAGGAAGGGAAGGAAGUGAUCAUAACAUGGAGGCAUACCAUAGGCUUCAGCGUUUGUAGGGUUGUUUUGUAAAUUCGGUGCCGAUGAGGUGUAUUUGAGUCCAUGUGUUCUAGUUGGCCACAAAAAGAAGACAUUGGAUUUUUUUUUAUGAGUUUUUUAAGGGAUUUCAAACAGUGUAAGUUGUAAGAUUAGUUCAACGAAUUUAGGAGAUCAAUUUUACUUAUAAUCUCAUCUCCAUUUUAGUGGGUUUUUUAUUCGUAGCGAAAAUGGUUCAAAAGCGACAGAUGUUACACACUUAACACUGGUAGUUUUUGUAGGUUAAGAGCACCGUAAAUACACAACAUAUCACAUGAGUUUCUAUGGUGUGUGGCCCUAGGUUUGUGAUUUUGGUAAUCUAACACAUGGCAACUGAAUAAUAACAAAUAUGGGUUGUUCUUCGAAGUAAGGUCGAAUGGUGGGCUGGUUUUAGUGCAUGCAUUGAGUGUUGAGCAUUGGGGUUAUAAUUCUGAAGGAGGCAGCGUCCCUUACACGAUAUUGUUUUUAUUUUAUUUUGUGGAGGUGAAGCUUAGCAGCGUUUGCGUGAUUGAAGUUUGAAGGGAGCUGAGGUUUCGAUUUUUUUUCUUCACUCGUCAAAUUUCACAUGGAGUUGUUUACAUUCACUUUGUGGAGAACUCUGGGGUUAUGACAUUGCUUCUAGCGCCGGUUAAUUUUUAAAUUUCAAAGAUGGCACAACAAGAAACAACAAAUGAUCUUCUUGUGGAACCUUCUCAUCCACCUCCAGUUGCUUCAAGUCAAACCGAAGUUGAUGAAGCAACUUCUAAAAUGAAGAGGAAGGGCAUGAAGCCAAGAUCAGCUGUUUGGGAUCACUUUUCAAAGUUUGUUGAUGGUAGUGGCACACAAAAAGGCAAGUGCAAUUACUGCUAUAAAGAAUUUUUCUGUGACCCCAAAAAAAAUGGAACUACUACACUUAGAAAUCACAUGUUUGCAUGCAUAAAGAACCCACAUGUUAUGACUACUAGGCAAUCACAAUUGUAUUUAUAACCAUCUUCUAGUAUACAAGAGGGAGGGGGAAGUCAUUGUGGUACACUAAAUACUUGGAAUUUUAAUCAAGAGAGGUCAAGGCGGAACCUAGCUAAAAUGAUAAUUGUUGAUGAGCUCCCAUUUAUGUUUGUGGAAGGGGAAGGGUUUAAGGAAUUUAUGGAAGUUACGCAACCUAAGUUUCGAAUUCCAUCCCGUUGGACAGUUUCAAGGGAUUGUUAUGACUUGUACAUGGAAGAGAGAAAAAAAUUGAAGAAUUACUUUCAAAAUUCUAAUCAAAGGGUUUGCAUUACCACAGAUACAUGGACUUCAUUGCAAAGAAUCAAUUAUAUGUGUAUCACUGUAAAUUAUGUUGAUGAUAAUUGGACAUUGCAUAAAAAAAUUCUUAAUUUUUGUCCAAUUACUAGUCACAAGGGUGAUGAUAUUGGCAUGGCAGUUGAGAGUUGUUUGCUAAAUUGGGGAAUUAAGAGAGUGUUUACAGUAACUGUUGAUAAUGCAAGUUCAAAUGAUUUUGCUAUUGCCUAUUUGAAAAAGAAAAUAGCUGGUUGGGGGUUUAGCAUUUUAAAUUGCAAGUACCUUCACAUGAGAUGCAUUGCACACAUAAUUAACUUGGUUGUUGUUGAUGGAUUGAAGGAAACUAAUGUUUCAGUGAAAAGGGUUAGGGAAGCAGUGAGAUAUAUUAGGCAAUCUCCUGCUAGGUUGCAAAAGUUUAAAUCAUGUUGUGAGAUGGAGGGGAUUGAAAGUAAAAGUUCUUUAUGCUUAGACGUGUGCACUAGGUGGAAUUCUACUUAUUUGAUGUUAAAUGUUGCACAAAAGUUUGAAAAUGCAUUUGAUAGAUAUGCUACUAUAGAUCCAUGCUUUAAAUUUGAUCUUCAGUCAAGUGAUGGUUUGCCAGAUAGUUUGGAUUGGGAAAAUGUUAGGAGACUUGUAGAUUUUUUGGGCCACUUUUAUGAUCUUACCUUGAGAAUAUCAGGAUCUCGAUAUGUCACUUCUAAUAUAUUUUUUAAUGAGAUCAGUUCAGUUGAUUGUUUAUUGCAAGAGUGGCAAGGGAGUAAUGACGUAGAAUUGGCAUGUAUGGGUGAAAGGAUGAAGGUAAAAUUUGAUAAAUAUUGGGGGAUCCUGAUAAGAUGAAUAAAAUAGUUUAUAUUGCAGUGGUGGUUGAUCCUCGAUAUAAGUUGGAAUUUAUGGAAUUUGCUCUUUCAACUGUGUAUGAGAAAGAAAAGGGUAUGGAAUUGGCAAAGAAAAUUAAAUUGACUGUAUAUGAGUUGUUUGAUGAAUACAAGAAAACAUAUCAAGCUGAACAUGAUCGUGGUAGCAGUGUAGCUGGGAAUACAAGUGAAAACAAUGAAAGUGAAGGAGCAAAAAAGAAAUCACGGUUGAAUUUGGGGGAUCAAUUCUUGAAACAUAAAAUAGAGACUGGAGAAGCUAAUAGCAAGUCUGACUUAGAUUGCUAUUUGAAUGAGGGCAUUAAGUGGUGGAUGAAAAAGAAGAAUUUGAUAUAUUAAAGUAGUGGCAACUUAAUUCUGGUAGGUUUCCCAUCCUUUCAAUCAUGGUAAGAGAUAUAUUAGCAAUGCCUAUAUUUACAGUUGCUUCGGAAUCAGCCUUUAGUACUGGAGGUAGAGUACUUGAUCCUUUUAGAAGUUCUUUAACUCCUAAAAUUGUUGAAGCAUUAUUAUGUGCACAAGAUUGAUUGCGGAAGUCCCAUUGCUGCAAAUCUAUUGAAGAGCAAAUUGCUGACCUUGAAAGGCUUGAAGAGGCAUUUUCACUUUGUGAAAUAAAUAGCAUCAAUGAUAACACUGUGAACCGGGAUACUUGAUAUUACAGGUAAAUAUGGCUAUAAUUGUUUAUUUUGUUUAUUUUUUUAAAUUUCUUUUACCAAUUCUAAUCCUUUUCAUGUUUGCAUAUCCAUCAAUUGGUAUUUGAAGCAUUCAGGCUUGCUAGUUGGAGACAAAGUGAUGGAACUAUUGUAAUAUUUUAAUUUGUAAUUGUAUGAUUUUUUUAUGUUGGACACUUGCUUAUUUGCUUUCAUGUUUGAUGUAUUUUAUGGAGUUUGUUUAAUGUGGACUGUAUAAGAACUUUUAUUUUAUUGGUUUGGAUGGCUUUCAUUUUAUGUAUUUAGAUUGUCAAGGACUUAUCCAUUUGCUUUAUGAUGAAUUUUUUUUUAAUUAUUUUAUUUUUAUAGAGAUUUUGAGUACUAUAUGUUUAAUUUUAUUGAUUAAUGUGAAAUUAAGUCCAAAAAUAGGGUAAAAAUCAGAUAAAAAAAAAGCAAAAAUCAGGUUUAAAUAAAGUGAAACCAAGUCCAAAACAGAAUCCCAUUUAAAGCCCAAACCGAUCGAACCGAACAGAAAUAUUUCGGUUCGGUUCUAUUUCAGUUUCUUGUAUAUUUCGAUUCGGUUCGGUUCAUAAUAUUAUGUAAUUCGGUCUAUUCGGUUUUGUCGUUCGGUUCGGUUCGGUUCGAAUCGAAUACUCAGCCCUAGAAUGUGCACUCUCAUUUAGUAUUGAUUUACAAUUUUAUAGAUUUUGGAUGAAUUUAUAAUUUUAUGGAUUUUUGUAUGGAUCUUGACGUAUUAUUUAUAUUUAUUUCUUAGGAGUAAACUGAUUUUUAUGUAAUUUUGUAAAGAUUUUGGUUUACGGCAAUCGAACUGAGCCGAACUUUCUAUUUUCUGUUUGGUUUGGUUUGUUUAUUCUUUGAAGGUCGGUUGUUUGGUCUAUUCUACUAUUGAACGCUAGAAAUAAUUUUUGUAAAUCUUUAAUUUGGUUUGUCUUGAACACUAAUAAUUAUUGAUGUUCCUGGACAGACCCCUAUAUCUUCCAUACAUAGAAGUCGUUAAUAGUUUGAUGGAGCAAAAUAUAUAAUUAGAUGAUUUGAUAGUUUGAGCUUAUGAUUUGUGGCCCUAUAUAUUGAAGAUACUUGUUUAGUCAUUAGAUGCUUAUUUUCAAAUCGGAUGUUUGGUUUAUAAAUGGGAAGGAUCCAUUUGCGCUUUAAGGCUUCUGAUCGUUAUUUUUUUUGUUUCCCAACCUAAAAGUUGUUGAAUUUGGGAAAAUAAUUGUUUUGCAUAUGCAUAAAACAUGCAUCCACCCAUAUUUCAUAUAAUGUUUUUACUACAUAUUUUUAAAAUCUACCUUUCUUAAUUGUUGGGAUCUUUUGAUAUUUUGAAAUGAAUAUGGACAAUGAGUUCUUGUUUCAUCGAGUUGGGGCUUCUUCAAUGUGUUAGAUUACUUUUUUUAGUUUAAUAUCUAACUAGUGAAUUAUUUAUUUCAUUGGAAAAUAACAGUUUGAAAUUAAAAUUAAUUUAAAUUGAAUUGCUAUAACAGGUUUUUUUUAAUUUUCCUCAGGUGAUGACUACUCAAAGGAAGAA